UUUGUACUCCCUCCGUCCCAAAAUUCUUGUCUUAAAUUUGUCUAAAUACGGAUGUAUCUAGUUACAUUUUAGUGCUAGAUACAUUUGUAUCUAAACAAAUAUAAGACAAUAAUUUUGGGACGGAGGGAAUACUAC
rnacentral:pre_miRNA from 1 species